AUAUAUGGGCAAACCCGACGAAAGGCGGGGACGCAAAGUUUAGUGUCUAACCCGAUGAUACGGUAUGAUUGACUGACUG
rnacentral:ncRNA from 1 species